rnacentral:rRNA from 1 species
GGAUUAGAUACCCUGGUAGUCCACGCCGUAAACGAUGUGCACUGGAUUCAGGAGGUUUUGAUGCCCUCUGGGUCGUAGCGAAAGCGUUAAGUGCACCGCCUGGGGAGUACGGUCGCAAGGCUAAAACUCAAAGGAAUUGACGGGGGCUCACACAAGCGGUGGAGCAUGUGGCUUAAUUCGAAGCAACGCGAAGAACCUUAUCCUGGGUUUGACAUGUAUGGAUUAAGCCCCCGAAAGGGGGCCCACACUCUUUGAGUGGAACAUACACAGGUGCUGCAUGGCUGUCGUCAGCUCGUGCUG